ACUUUCAANCAACGGAUCUCUUGGUUCUCGCAUCGAUGAAGAACGCAGCGAAUUGCGAUAAGUAAUGUGAAUUGCAAAAUUCAGUGAAUCAUCGAAUCUUUGAACGCACAUUGCGCCCUCUGGGCAUUCCGGGGGGCAUGCCUGUUUGAGCGUCUC
rnacentral:rRNA from 1 species